rnacentral:lncRNA from 1 species
CAUAAACUUAUUAUUUCUUUUAAGUUUCCAAAAAACCUAAAACAUUAUUUUUUGAUUUUCUGAUUUUGCAUGAGUAAAAGGAUAUUCUUGAUUUUCUAAUUUUAGAAAAAACACCUUUAUGCCCAUGCAUACUUGAAAACUAACAUGUCUAUUCUAUUCGCAUAUAUGAUCGAGUAAGAAUAAGUAUAUCAAUGACUUGUAUGUGUACAUGCAUGCUAAUCCGAGCUCAAGCAUAUAAAGAACAUUGACCUUAACAAUGUA